CUGUGUGCAAGGCAGCCUCCAGCAGGUGGGGCUGUGGAGUCGCAGAAGGCUGGCCGCCUUGAGCGGAAUGCGGCGCUGUUGCCACCGUCUGAUUUGGAUGGAAUCAUCCUUGCGGUAUGUGGAGUCAAGCUCGGGAGAUUGCUACCUUCUCACGGAGAGCCAAGCUUGGGAGAUUGACUUUGCUACUUCCUCAUUCUCCACCAUUACUGCAGAGCCCUAUUGCCUCGGGGGAGGAGAAGGUCUUGAUGGGGAGGGGACCAAGUCUCUGUGGCAGUUUCCUGAUCUUCUGGAUAUGCUGCCAUGCUGUCCCAAGGCUGGUGGUGUCCCCUGA
rnacentral:lncRNA from 1 species